GGGGGGGGGGGGGGGGGGGGGGGGGGGAGGGGGGGCGAGCGAGGGGAGGGGGGGCUUGCUCCUCUGACGGUGGCGGCGGACGGGGGAGUAAGACGUGGAUCAGCUACCUGUAAGACUGGGAUAACUUCGGGAAACCGGAGCUAAUCCCGGAUAAUCUAUUGCACCGCAUGGUUCAAUAGUGAACGCCUGUUUUGCUGUCCCUUAUCGAUGGAUCCGCGCCGCCUUAGCUAGUUGGUAAGGUAACGGCUUACCAAUGCAACGCUGCGUAGCCGACCUGAGAGGGUGAUCGGCCACACUGGAACUGAGACACGGUCCAGACUCCUACGGGAGGCAGCAGUAGGGAAUCUUCCGCAAUGGGCGAAAGCCUGACGGAGCAACGCCGCGUGAGUGAUGAAGGUCUUCGGAUCGUAAAACUCUGUUAUUAGGGAAGAACAAAUGUGUAAGUAACUAUGCACGUCUUGACGGUACCUAAUCAGAAAGCCACGACUAACUACGUG
rnacentral:rRNA from 1 species